UUGCAUAAAAAGCAAAUUAUAACAGACCAUAGAUGAUAGACCCUCAUCCAGUGCUCUCAUCAGUUUACUUCUUUCACAAGCAAGGAGGGGGGGGGGGGUACAUAACAGUUCAUUUUUCAUAAUUAUGAGGACAGAGCAGAUGAUGAUGAGAGAUGCAAGUAUAAAACACCAUUCACAAGGCUAGAUGUUAACAUAGCACAGUAUUUCUGGCAAUAAAACGCUCCAACUGACCAUUUAACACGAACUUUUAUCGCUGGAUAAUUUUGCGAUUUUUCAUCCAAUUCAAUCAUAUAUACGCUCAAAAUCUCCGCGGUAAGUUUCUCUUUACCAUAAAAUUUGACCGAAUAAGUUUCGAAGCAAUGCGACGGCAAAAAAUGCAAAAAUCCUGAUUUUCGUAAUAGAAUCUAUAGUCUUUUUGCCCUGUUGUACCGCCAUCUUGGAUUUAUCAUGUAGGCCCCGCCUGCGCU